UACGUAGGGUGCGAGCGUUGUCCGGAAUCACUGGGCGUAAAGCGCACGUAGGCGGCUUGCUAAGUCAGGGGUGAAAUCCUGGAGCUCAACUCCAGAACUGCCUUUGAUACUGGCGAUCUCGAGUCCGGGAGAGGUGAGUGGAACUGCGAGUGUAGAGGUGAAAUUCGUAGAUAUUCGCAAGAACACCAGUGGCGAAGGCGGCUCACUGGCCCGGUACUGACGCUGAGGUGCGAAAGCGUGGGGAGCAAACAGG
rnacentral:rRNA from 1 species